rnacentral:rRNA from 1 species
GAUGAACGCUGGCGGCGUGCCUAAUACAUGCAAGUCGAGCGAACAGACGAGGAGCUUGCUCCUCUGACGUUAGCGGCGGACGGGUGAGUAACACGUGGAUAACCUACCUAUAAGACUGGGAUAACUUCGGGAAACCGGAGCUAAUACCGGAUAAUAUAUUGAACCGCAUGGUUCAAUAGUGAAAGACGGUUUUGCUGUCACUUAUAGAUGGAUCCGCGCCGCAUUAGCUAGUUGGUAAGGUAACGGCUUACCAAGGCGACGAUGCGUAGCCGACCUGAGAGGGUGAUCGGCCACACAGGAACUGAGACACGGUCCAGACUCCUACGGGAGGCAGCAGUAGGGAAUCUUCCGCAAUGGGCGAAAGCCUGACGGAGCAACACCGCGUAAGUGAUGAAGGUCUUCGGAUCGUAAAACUCUGUUAUUAGGGAAGAACAAAUGUGUAAGUAACUAUGCACGUCUUGACGGUACCUAAUCAGAAAGCCACGGCUAACUACGUG